GACGAACGCUGGCGGCGUGCUUAACACAUGCAAGUCGAACGAUGAAGCCAGCUUGCUGGUGGAUUAGUGGCGAACGGGUGAGUAACACGUGGGUGAUCUGCCCCAAACUUUGGGAUAAGCCUGGGAAACUGGGUCUAAUACCGAAUAUGACCGAUACUCGCAUGGGUGUUGGUGGAAAGCUCCGGCGGUUUGGGAUGGGCCCGCGGCGUAUCAGCUUGUUGGUAAGGUAAUGGCUUACCAAGGCGACGAUGGGUAGCCGGCCUGAGAGGGCGACCGGCCACCCGGGAACUGAGAACCGGUCGAGAGUCCUACGGGAGGCAGCAGUAGGGAAUCUUCCGCAAUGGGCGAAAGCCUGACGGAGCAACGCCGCGUGAGUGAUGAAGGUCUUCGGAUCGUAAAACUCUGUGAUUAGGGAAGAACAAAUGUGUAAGUAACUAUGCACGUCGUGACGGUACCUAAUCAGAAAGCCACGGCUAACUACGUG
rnacentral:rRNA from 1 species